rnacentral:rRNA from 1 species
GAUGAACGCUGGCGGCGUGCUUAACACAUGCAAGUCGAACGGAAAGGCUCCUGCUUGCAGGGGUACUCGAGUGGCGAACGGGUGAGUAACACGUGGGUGAUCUGCCCUGCACUUCGGGAUAAGCCUGGGAAACUGGGUCUAAUACCGGAUAGGACCACAUUUUGGAUGGUGUGGUGGAAAGUUUUUCGGUGUGGGAUGAGCUCGCGGCCUAUCAGCUUGUUGGUGGGGUAAUGGCCUACCAAGGCGUCGACGGGUAGCCGGCCUGAGAGGGUGUACGGCCACAUUGGGACUGAGAUACGGCCCAGACUCCUACGGGAGGCAGCAGGGGGGAAUAUUGCACAAUGGGCGCAAGCCUGAUGCAGCGACGCCGGGUGGGGGAUGACGGCCUUCGGGUUGUAAACUCCUUUCGCUAGGGACGAAGCGCAAGUGACGGUACCUGGAGAAGAAGCACCAGCUAACUACGUG